AUGAGUUGUGAGCGGGUGAGCCCGGGUUUUUGAAUUCACUCAAAGAUUUGAAGUUCUUCGUAUUUUGUCAGGUUUCUUCAAGAUUUUUCCAAAGAUCUUCAAGUUUUCAUUGAAGUUCCUCAUCCUCCCCUUGAAGACCUUCAAAGUUCUUGAGCAGGGAGCCAUUUGGAGAAUUUAAAAUCUUUUUGGGCUUUUUUAUAAUUUGUGAAACUUCUUAGGGUUCCUCGUAAUUUUGGAAAAUAUGGCUGAGAGAAGAAAGAGAAGGACUCGCAGAGGAAUCCGGCUAGAUGGUACGGAAAGUUACAGUACUUCAUCUCAGGGGGACGAGGGUCCCGCAGACUGGUACACUGGGCGGAUGCUCUAUAGGACUCGGGAUCACAUAUGCAACUCCAUAUGGGGUACAUAGAGGUUCAAUGAGGGAGUACCACCUGCAUUGGCCAGAUAUGGUCAUCCGAAUUCUGUCCGGGACUGGUACAAAAUGCUUCCUUACAGGGUCAAGGGGAUGGUCGAUUCAUCUUACCUAAGCAGAUUGGCCUUGCUGGAGACUAGGUAAUUUAGUUUGAUAUUAGGGGGGGCUUGAUUGAGUGGUGGUGGUCGAGUACUCACUCCUUCCAUCUCCCUAUAAGUGAGAUGACCAUUACACCCUUAUGCUUCUAUGCCUUGAUAGGCAUACCAUUUGGGGAGAGGCCCCUAACUCUUCCUGAGACUCUAAUAGCAAGGGAGUUCACAAACCUGAUGAGCAUCGACAUCUAGGAUGAUCAAAAACAUGUCCGCCUUGGCGAGAUCAGUGCUCACUGGUGGGGGAUGGGCCCGGGGGUGAACCCUGGUAACAUUCCACAAGUGACCCGUUCUUUCCUUCGAUUUACUAUGGGUCAGUGUCUUCUUACUGUCCUCUGAGGUGGGGUGUUUAUCCGUAUGGCUACUAUUUUUUGGGAACUUCAGGAUCUAGGCACUUAGGAUUGGGGUGGGGCCUCAUAUGCUUACCUGUUGUGGACCGUUGACUUUUUAUUAUAUAGAGAUCGGGGCCUCAAGGGAGUGGGCUACAUUCUUCAGGUAACUUCUUAUCCCUACACACAUUUCCUUUCAUUUGAUUGCACCACCUUAUUUUGAAUUUUUAAUUCAUCUCUGGUGUUAUGAACACUUGGAGAUUACUGCUCCCACACUGAAGGCUUCUCAAGCAUUGUUCUUCCCCGUAGCCACAAGAUGGGGAAACAGUCAGAUACUCAAGGGUCAUCACCAUCCCCCAUUGGCUACUACUCGUUCUUUUAUGAAUGGGCUUUCAAAGGUAGGUCAUGUUUGGCAUUGAAUUUCCCUCUGUUCUUGUGCCGUACUUACUUCUUCUUGAAUUUGUAGGCUACUUGGAGGCCAUUUUGGCAUUUGAGGUUUCCUCACCUUGAUGAAACCGCAUGAGCCAAGCAUUUGAUAGAGAAUCAGGUUCUGUUCAGGGGUAUCUGGGGCCAUACCUAGUAUUUAGGAGAGUAGUUCAUCCUCCAAUGGUUUGAUUCUAACAUACAUUUCCCUCCUUGUUUUCCUCCACCUACCAUGCAUCACCCAGAGCGCAUUCCUACAAAUCAGAUUGAGGGAUUGGCUAAAGGGAUAUGGGAUGAUUCCUUCAUUGACUAGAGUGAGGAUUAUGGGACUUUCCUUGAGGAAGAGGCCGUCUGUACUCCUUUUGGUCCCAGAGGCCCAGUGUAGAGAACAAUGCAUGCAGACUCUUCUUCUGGCCGACUGCAAUCGUAUGCUACUGGUUCUUCCCAUGCCGGACCUUCCACUGCUACAGAUGGUUCUCAUAAAAUCGCCCCUAUCCCCUAUCAUGGUUUCCUGGGUUGGUCUUACCCUGAUGUAGCCCAUCUGGAUAUCCCUUAGCUCCUGAAAUGCAGACUGGACAAAGAUGCCUCUAUUGGGUUGCCCAUUCCAUAUGACUGUGUGAGUAUCCAAUCCCCUCUCAUUUGAUAGAUCUUUAACUUCUUUUGGUUGGCACAGUCUUCAUCAGGUGUCUUCGAAGGUCUAUGCUGAGCUCAGAAGAAUGCACCAGAUUUUAUGUGAGGUGGUGCUUGAUAAGGAAGGAGAGAAUACUAUCUUGAAGAGACAAGUCAGCUCUUGCCAGCAAGAGAUUGCUUGGCAGCACAAGCAGAUUCAAGAUCUUACUCAGAGGAUGGAGAGCUUAGGAUUGGCACCUAGUAGUUCCUCUAUGUUUCCUGUGUAUGCCCCCGAGUAUGGCUCAGAUGAGGACUUUGAUUCUUAGGGAUCUUCUCUUGCAGUUCCUGUAAAUACAAGCAUAUGUAUAUCUUUUUUAUU